CCUACGGGGGGCUGCAGUGGGGAAUAUUGGACAAUGGGCGCAAGCCUGAUCCAGCAACGCCGCGUGGAGGACGAAGGUCUUCGGAUCGUAAACUCCUGUCAGACGGGACGAAGGUUCCGGGGUAAAUAAUCCCGGAUCUUGACGGUACCGUCAGAGGAAGCCCCGGCUAACUCCGUGCCAGCAGCCGCGGUAAUACGGAGGGGGCGAGCGUUAUUCGGAAUUAUUGGGCGUAAAGGGCGCGUAGGCGGCUUUACAAGUCAAAGGUGAAAUCCCUC
rnacentral:rRNA from 1 species